rnacentral:rRNA from 1 species
UGAGGAAUAUUGGUCAAUGGGCGAGAGCCUGAACCAGCCAAGUAGCGUGCAGGAUGACGGCCCUAUGGGUUGUAAACUGCUUUUAUGUGGGGAUAAAGUGAGCUACGUGUAGUUUAUUGCAGGUACCACAUGAAUAAGGACCGGCUAAUUCCGUGCCAGCAGCCGCGGUAAUACGGAAGGUCCAGGCGUUAUCCGGAUUUAUUGGGUUUAAAGGGAGCGUAGGCCGUGGAUUAAGCGUGUUGUGAAAUGUAGACGCUCAACGUCUGAAUUGCAGCGCGAACUGGUUCACUUGAGUAUGCACAACGUAGGCGGAAUUCGUCGUGUAGCGGUGAAAUGCUUAGAUAUGACGAAGAACUCCGAUUGCGAAGGCAGCUUACGGGAGCACAACUGACGCUGAAGCUCGAAGGUGCGGGUAUCAAACAGGAUUAGAUACCCUGGUAGUCCGCACAGUAAACGAUGGAUGCCCGUUGUUAGUUCACUUUAGAAUUAGCGACCAAGCGAAAGCAUUAAGCAUCCCACCUGGGGAGUACGCCGGCCGGU